rnacentral:rRNA from 1 species
GACGAACGCUGGCGGCGUGCUUAACACAUGCAAGUCGAACGGAAAGGCCCUGCUUUUGUGGGGUGCUCGAGUGGCGAACGGGUGAGUAACACGUGAGUAACCUGCCCUUGACUUUGGGAUAACUUCAGGAAACUGGGGCUAAUACCGGAUAGGAGCUCCUGCUGCAUGGUGGGGGUUGGAAAGUUUCGGCGGGUGGGGAUGGACUCGCGGCUUAUCAGCUUGUUGGUGGGGUAGUGGCUUACCAAGGCUUUGACGGGUAGCCGGCCUGAGAGGGUGACCGGCAACAUUGGGACUGAGAUACGGCCCAGACUCCUACGGGAGGCAGCAGUGGGGAAUAUUGCACAAUGGGCGGAAGCCUGAUGCAGCAACGCCGCGUGCGGGAUGACGGCCUUCGGGUUGUAAACCGCUUUCGCCUGUGACGAAGCGUGAGUGACGGUAAUGGGUAAAGAAGCACCGGCUAACUACGUG